GUGUGUUUCAGAAAAGGUAAAGGAGAAAAAAACCCAAAAAGUCACCUUCUCCUUAUGGGUAUUCAAAAGAGAAAGUAAAGCAUGAACUCUGUAGCUCCAUUUGUAAGAUCAGACCCCCGCCUUUUCCUCAUACUAUCUCCGACUGUUGCUUUUCUCAGCCUUUGCUCCAGCUAUGUUCUCUUGCUGGCCGGCUUUUACAUGUUUUCUCUCCUCCCCCCUUCUCCCCGUCACCUCAGUAGCUCUUACUUGUCCUUCAAGACUCAGCUCAGUGUCUCCCCCCAGGGUUGUCUUCCCUGUCUAUGUCAGCUGCUUCCAGCAGGAGACUAGACUUCUCUCCACGGAUGUCCCGCUGCCUCCUCCUACUGAACUGACCUGCACCUCACCUGGGUUCCUUAGCACUUCGCCUCCAUCAGUCAUCUUUGAUUCUUCUCUCCCCACCUCCUUUAUUCAUUCACCCGGUCUCAGCUUCGAUGUCACUUCUUUCAGCAAGAUCUCCGUGGCCCCCUGACUCUGUCGUCCUACCAUGGCAUCCAGUUCUUCCCCCUUUGUGACACCAUCCUACCCUUACAAGGGAAGAGAAGGUGGUAUCAUUGGAGAGAGGUCCACAGAAACCUCUAAGAUACUGUAACUCCUGCGCUGCCUGGGAGCAUGAUGUGUUGACUGAGCAUAUGGCAAAGUGAGAGGCUGGCGUGAGGCUGGUGAACAGGGAACUUCUUGGUUUCCUUUUGAUGCCACCUUUUUUCUUGAGAUGCUUACUCUUAUUCUGGAUGCCAGAUGAUCUGCUGUGCUUUCGGUUUAUCUGGGUUCCCUGCCUCUCUUCGUCUCCUAUCCAGAUUCCUGAUUCUUUAGGUGAGAGUCUGCUAGCCAGCUGACCAUAAGGAUUACUCUUUCAUCAUUCCUUCUAGGCAAUAUUCACAUUUUAGCAGAGGCCACUAUGACAAGUUUGCAGAGGUGAGUAGUGAUGGGCACACCCAGUGAGGGAGGCAAUUGCAGAACCCACACUGGACACUGUAGUGAGAUUUGGACAGUUGCAUGUCCCUGUGGCCCAUGCUGCUAGAGCCCUUGGGAAACUUAUUCUAGAAGGAACUAAACAUAUCAUAAAAUCUAAGCUCUCGGAAAGAGGAAAUGAAGUUUGUAUACCCAUUGGUUGUCACCAUGCUUGGAUAUAGCCCUGGAGUCUACUUUCUCUGGAGCGAAUGGAUAAGAUAAUGGAUAAGUCUGAGAACAAAGACAGUAAAACUCCUGUGCAGUUGUGUUUAAGUACUGUUCUGCUAUUCUGAGGUACGAGCCAUAUCUCAGCACUUGCUUCAGAAAAUCCAGGUCAGGGCGCC